UGAAUGUUUGUCCAUACUCACAGUAAUUCCUAGUACGGAAUAUAAAAGCAACCAAUUAAUUUUUGGAAAUUGUGGAAGUGCCAAGUAUGCCGUAUACGUAUAUUUAUUGUUCAUGUGAAAUUUAAGGGAUAAGAUGCUUCCUUUGGAAAAAUGAACGUAAAUAGAGGAUUUGCCAUAUAACAAGAACAAAUAAUGAGAUAAAAGUAAGAUAUGCAAAAUUCUUGACACGCUCAUUAGUACUUUCAUUAGUGUUUCUGAAUCUAGCUUCGCGAGCUUGCAAAUAGUAAAUUUUUCCUUUGAUUUCUUCAAUGAAGUCUCUUGCACGACGGAUAUCAGCUUCUACAGGUUCCAAGUUGUUUGCUUUUUGCAAUGAAGAAUAAUCAUCGGCGUCAGCGCCUACAGUAAACUCAAGUUUGACGGAUCGCUUUUUAUGUUCAGACUCUAUAGCACCUACAUUUAAAUGUCAGUCAGA